UACGUAGGGUGCAAGCGUUGUCCGGAAUUAUUGGGCGUAAAGAGCUCGUAGGCGGUUUGUCGCGUCGAAUGUGAAAACCCGGGGCUCAACCCCGGGCCUGCAUUCGAUACGGGCAGACUAGAGUUCGGUAGGGGGAGUCUGGAAUUCCUGGUGUAGCGGUGAAAUGCGCAGAUAUCAGGAGGAACACCGGUGGCGAAGGCGGGACUCUGGGCCGAUACUGACGCUGGAGGAGCGAAAGCGUGGGGAGCAAACAGG
rnacentral:rRNA from 1 species